CACUGUGGCUAGAAAAUAUCAGCGCUUAGUAGACAAAGGAGGUAAUUUCCUAAAUGAAAAUUCAUCCUUUGAAAGUGGGUUGGGGGGGGCCAACACUUUUUUUCCUAAAGGAAGAUUUUAUUCAGCAAAUAAAAAUGAAUUUCCUGCUAAUCGGGACAUCUGUUUUUGCUAUCUGCAAUCCCGUGUAUUUUCUCUUCAGCUGAGUUGGCGCGUGUGUGUGAAGACCUGGGCACGGAGGAAGUGGCUUCAUUAAGGUUGAUUUGGAGGGGGGAGCAAGACGGGGAAAAAAAAUUGCCCCUAUGAUUGGCUGGGAGAACAGCUCUGAAUUAUGGGAUCCAUCUGCUUCCUGUAAUGAAUUCAUAAACCCAUCAAACAAUGACCUGAACGAAUUGCUGCAGGAAAAAAAGAAUAAUAAUAAUACGCGGGCAUGAUAUGCUUAACGCAGUGAGGCAUCGGCGUUGUAUAAUCAGAAAUUCUUCUCACAUCCAGUACUUUGUAAUGGAGCUGCUGUGUUUAAUAGAAGCUGUAAAUAAAUCCUGUCACAGUAGCGGCCAAGCCUGCGUUUCGGGGUUUUAACCGUUUCUCCUCUGGAGCGCCUGUGUCGCUCCGGCUUUCGGAACGCAACUUUUGUGCAACUGAGUCUUCGGAAAUGCGGAGAAAUGUUAAUGAGGUGAACGAAAGGGAAAAAGCUGCCGUAAAUCAGUAUUAUGUGGCUUAGGCAGUUUCUUGCAUUUAUGCCUGUUCUUGCCUUAUGUUAUAGAAAUGUGCUUAAAUGCUAUUGUUGUAAUUGAAAUCUGUUCGACUGAUCCUAUUCAUUAUAUUAAUAAAAUCCACCUACAAUU